GACGAACGCUGGCGGCGUGCUUAACACAUGCAAGUCGAGCGGAGCGGCGAACGGGUGAGUAACGCGUGAGUAACUGCCCCCCUCUCUGGGAUAACAGUUGGAAACGGCUGCUAAUACCGGAUAGUGGGGGAUGACUCGCGUCCUAUCAGAUUGUUGGUGGGGUAGUGGACUACUAAGGCGACGACGGGUAGCCGGCCUGAGAGGGCGACGGGCCACAUUUGGCUGAGAUACGGCCGAAACUCCUACGGGAGGCAGCACUAGGGAAUAUUGCACAAUGGGGGAAACCCUGAUGAAGCAACGCCGCGUGCUGGAUGGCGGCCUUCGGGUUGUAAACCGCUUUCAGCCAUGUCGCGGUAGUGGCAGAAGAAGCACCGGCUAACUACGUGCCAGCAGCCGCGGUAAUAC
rnacentral:rRNA from 1 species